rnacentral:rRNA from 1 species
CUACGGGCCGCUCCAGUAGGGAAUCUUCGGCAAUGGACGGAAGUCUGACCGAGCAACGCCGCGUGAGUGAAGAAGGUUUUCGGAUCGUAAAGCUCUGUUGUAAGAGAAGAACGAGUGUGAGAGUGGAAAGUUCACACUGUGACGGUAUCUUACCAGAAAGGGACGGCUAACUACGUGCCAGCAGCCGCGGUAAUACGUAGGUCCCGAGCGUUGUCCGGAUUUAUUGGGCGUAAAGCGAGCGCAGGCGGUUAGAUAAGUCUGAAGUUAAAGGCUGUGGCUUAACCAUGGUACGCUGUGGAAACUGUUUAACUUGAGUGCAGAAGGGGAGAGUGGAAUUCCAUGUGUAGCGGUGAAAUGCGUAGAUAUAAGGAGGAACACCGGUGGCGAAAGCGGCUCUCUGGUCUGUAACUGACGCUGAGGCUCGAAAGCGUGGGGAGCAAACAGGAUUAGAUACCCCAGUAGUC